UACGGGGGGGGCAAGCGUUGUUCGGAAUUACUGGGCGUAAAGGGCUCGUAGGCGGCCAACUAAGUCGGACGUGAAAUCCCCAGGCUCAACCUGGGAACUGCGUCCGAUACUGGAUGGCUUGAAUCCGGGAGAGGGAUGCAGAAUUCCAGGUGUAGCGGUGAAAUGCGUAGAUAUCUGGAGGAAUACCGGUGGCGAAGGCGGCAUCCUGGACCGGCAUUGACGCUGAGGGACGAAAGCUAGGGGAGCGAAAGGG
rnacentral:rRNA from 1 species